UUAAGAAGUAAGAAAUAAGUUAUGUUUUGUCUGGAACACUAUGAACGCGUCAUCAACCACGUGGUGAAGAAGAACGUUGCCAUUUUGUGUUGAAUGCGUGUGGACCUGGGGAGAUAUCUUUCAAGUUUUUUCUGUAGGUAUAGGUAAUUGGUGUUGAGACAGUUGGGUUGGGACGGGCUUCUGCUUCAAGCAUUGUUCCUAAGGCUCUUUAGAAAUGUGAUAUGGCAGUGUAAGGGGUGUUCCGUUGCAGUAGCUAGUAGCAUCACCAUCAUUACAUGAUUCUUCAGCUGAUUGCCAGGAUGAGGAGUUUGUGGAAGAGGAAGUUUCUGUUGCACCCCUAGAUAAAUGCAGAAUUUAAGCGCAUUACCACCAUGUCCAAUGUCCAAUCCAGAUUUCUGACACAAACUUCUAAAGCUGUUCGAAAAACGAGGAGGACACGAGGAGCCCCCAUGACUCAAGUAAGAAUGAAUUUUUGGGAAAUAAAAUACUGAAUUUAUAGAGAAAUUUGAUAGAGGAAAAAGGAUUCCAAACAAAUGUCUUUCUCUUCUAAUCUACAUGACCUAGGAAGAUUACGUUGAUGCAGGGCGGGAAUGUGUUCUCAAGUGGCUGUGUGUGUACCUCAACGAAGACCCAGCAAAUCUUGUCAGGGAGUUCGUGGAGUUAUUUUACCGAUUUUGAUAUUUUUUUGAAUACCAAAAAGCGUAGUUAAAGGGGACCUAUUAUGCUUUUUCGACUUUUAUGACCUAUAAACGUUGUUAUGAUUGAUAGUCAUGUUUAACCAUACUUCUCCGCCCCCCUCCUGCCAACCCAACUCCGUUGUGAUUGGUUACCUUCCUUGAAGCGCGCGCAGGCAGAUUUGACCAGGCAUAUGGGGGCAUGGCAGGCGUGCCUCUACGUAGAUGAUUUCCCGGAAAUGAAGGCUGUGAAUCGCAAACGUUGUGAAUCGCAAACGUUGUCCCGAGUGUUUAGCGCUCUGCACAGCCACCCCAGACUGUCAGCAGGGAAUACGUCGAAAUGCAUGUACGUCAUUAUUUGACACUUGAGUAUGGUUAAACAUGACUAUCAAUCAUUAUAACAACGUUCAUAGGUCAUAAAAGUCGAAAAAGCAUAAUGGGUCCCCUUUAAUGAAAUAGAUCUAGGCUACUGUACUGAUGCAAAUUACGCAACACACUUCCGUUGUGUUUAGUAACAUUUAUAUUGGUUGCUCGACCUUAAGGUCUGGUUAGUUUAAUUUUUGCUUCCAUUACAUGACACACAGGUGAGUGCUUUAUCCAAGUUAAAACUUGACUAUAAAAUGAACCCUCUCGUGUUUUAUCGGCACAACACUAUAUAGGCAUUUUAAUUUGAAAGAUGUACAGUCUGCAUUUAAGUUUAACAAAGAGAAAAGGAGAGGCUCACAGACUAGCUUAAAUUAUUUAAAAUGAAAAAAUCUUUUAAAUAGCACUUUCAUUAUAAUUCCAUUGUAAAUAUGAUUUUUGUUUUUUCUGACUCCGAUUUAUUUGUGAUUUCACUGUUCAGGCAGAGGACGAAGCCGCCAUCAAAGAAUCGAUUGAGGACACCACGGUGGGAAUAUUUGUCGUGAAAAAUGAUGCAACCAAUUGGUCCAGAGGACGUGGGGAUUGUCCUGGAAGGCCUGCAGAUAAUGCAAGGACUUGACAACACUGCAUUAGCUGCUGCCAUAUUGUUUGGCCUAAUGUAUGUAUUGAACCUCAACUACCCUCCUGAGCUAAAGAACACGUUUGAAGUGCGCCAAAAAGUUGUGAUGGAGCUGGACGGCACCACGCUCUCAAAGAAAGCCCAAGUUCUCAAAAACAGACUAUGAGUGAGCUGUUGUCCUAACCCUGCUCAUUGACUUGAUUCUGGACUGUACACAUGCAACUUUGCGGUUCUUUGUUCUUGUUCUUGCAGUAUUUACAUACAGCAUGUCUACUGUAUUAUCAAAUGAAUGUUUUCUCUGGAGCUCAUGCGUUCCCAAAAUGUGACUCGGAUUUGCUGUUUUCUCUUAAAGUAAUAGAGCUGCUGAAUGAGCAGUUGCCAUGGACUAUGUUUGCUCUGUGAAUGCACUUGUCUUUUGACAUGCACUCAUGCAGCUUUAGUUUUUCCUGUAUUCUUUUGGCAGUAUUUAGAUUUUUGGAAGAAUUACAUUUUUCGUAGUAUUAAUGAUGUUUGUCUAGGUCUACUCAUUGUUUGUUGUGCGGUGAUUCAUUCAAAACACUGGCAGUACUUUUUUAUUUUAUUAUUUAAUUAGAAUUUUAUGCAAAGUAAAAAAAAACAUAAUGCAACCUAACAUGUUUUGGGAUUUCAGUGUUAAAAAUGUCUAGUGUUUUCCAAAAAUGUCCAAACUAUUGCUAUUUGAAGGUGGAGUCAGCGAUUAAGGGGAAUUCUUGUCGUCAAAAUCAGUGAAUAUCUCAUGAUGCACUACCUGUCCGUACUUAUGUGCUAUAAAUCCUUUGUUAGUUCUCAGCCUCUGUAAACCAAGGACCUAUGGACAUGCAAUUUGUAGGCAGGACAAGCACUCUCCAGAGUCAGCUCUAAGUUACACAUGCCUAACACUGGCUGUGCUAUUUUAUUUUAUUUUCAUUUUAAUCGAGCAAAGUAAUGGGAUUUCAGUGUUAAAUGUUG